rnacentral:rRNA from 1 species
AAAUUGAAGAGUUUGAUCAUGGCUCAGAUUGAACGCUGGCGGCAGGCCUAACACAUGCAAGUCGAACGGUAACAGGAAACAGCUUGCUGUUUCGCUGACGAGUGGCGGACGGGUGAGUAAUGUCUGGGAAACUGCCUGAUGGAGGGGGAUAACUACUGGAAACGGUAGCUAAUACCGCAUAAUGUCGCAAGACUAAAGAGGGGGACCUUCGGGCCUCUUGCCAUCGGAUGUGCCCAGAUGGGAUUAGCUAGUAGGUGGGGUAACGGCUCACCUAGGCGACGAUCCCUAGCUGGUCUGAGAGGAUGACCAGCCACACUGGAACUGAGACACGGUCCAGACUCCUACGGGAGGCAGCAGUGGGGAAUAUUGCACAAUGGGCGCAAGCCUGAUGCAGCCAUGCCGCGUGUAUGAAGAAGGCCUUCGGGUUGUAAAGUACUUUCAGCGGGGAGGAAGGGAGUAAAGUUAAUACCUUUACUCAUUGACGUUACCCGCAGAAGAAGCACCGGCUAACUCCGUGCCAG